UNUGGCUUAACUGGGGGCUUGCGGUGGGUACGGGCCGGCUUGAGUGCGGUAGGGGAGACUGGAACUCCUGGUGUAGCGGUGGAAUGCGCAGAUAUCAGGAAGAACACCGGUGGCGAAGGCGGGUCUCUGGGCCGUUACUGACGCUGAGGAGCGAAAGCGUGGGGAGCGAACAGGAUUAGAUACCCUGGUAGUNCACGCCGUAAACGUUGGGCACUAGGUGUGGGGGGCCUUUUCCGGNUCUUCCGCGCCGUAGCUAACGCAUUAAGUGCCCCGCCUGGGGAGUACGGCCGCAAGGCUAAAACUCAAAGGAAUUGACGGGGGCCCGCACAAGCGGCGGAGCAUGCGGAUUAAUUCGAUGCAACGCGAAGAACCUUACCAAGGCUUGACAUGUGCCGGUCGGCUCCGGAGACGGGGCUUCCUCCUUGUGGGGCCGGUUCACAGGUGGUGCAUGGUUGUCGUCAGCUCGUGUCGUGAGAUGUUGGGUUAAGUCCCGCAACGAGCGCAACCCUUGUCCCGUGUUGCCAGCACGUUGUGGUGGGGACUCGCGGGAGACUGCCGGGGUCAACUCGGAGGAAGGUGGGGAUGACGUCAAAUCAUCAUGCCCCUUAUGUCUUGGGCUUCACGCAUGCUACAAUGGCCGGUACAGAGGGCUGCGAUACCGUGAGGUGGAGCGAAUCCCUUAAGGCCGGUCUCAGUUCGGAUCGGUGUCUGCAACUCGACACCGUGAAGUUGGAGUCGCUAGUAAUCGCAGAUCAGCAACGCUGCGGUGAAUACGUUCUCGG
rnacentral:rRNA from 1 species